AACAACAGUUUUAAUGACUCCAACCUAAGUGUAUGUAAACUUCCGACUUCGACUGUAACCUGAUCCCUGCAGGUACCGAAGCUACAGCUUUGAGCUACAGAGGCCGUCAAGAGUAAGAAAGAUGCUGAAGUCAAACGUCAGAACAAGACAGCAGACAUGGUUGCCGUGAUGGAAAGCACAAAGUUAAGUUCUCUGUUGGCAUCAGAACCACUAUUGCAAAAUGGUUGACGAGAAAGAUGUAGAGCUUGAUGAUAAGAAGAGAGAAGACAUGGAGGCAGCUGCUAAUAGAACAUCACUGGAAUUGGAUCUGUCACAGCAGAACAUGGAAAAUGGCCAUUUGAAGGAACAACUGGAGAAAGAAAUGAAGGAGAGGGAAAGCUGAAAGCAGGAGAUUACAGGCCUGGAAAAAGAGAUGGCAUGUCAGAAAAUGAGCAGGCAACUGCAGACACAGGAUAAACAGAGCUUUGCAGUUGCAACUGAUCCAUUCAAAAGCCGCCUGCAGCCAAGUGUCCCAGCAGCACAGCAUCAAAACGUGGACAUAUUGAGGAAUGAAUGAGCCAGCUGAACAUUAUCACCAAAUACUUGAUUUACUUGGCAAUACUCCCUCUGCAUUAUGAAAUAAGCUGUGAAAUACCAUAUUGCAUUAUAGUAUAGUCUGUACUCUGCAACUUCUAAAAUAUAGUCUGUAACUUAUAAAAGUAGUUAAUGCUGUGGGGUUCUACAAUUUUCAGGUCACUAUUAGCCACUUCCACAAUCACUUCCACCGGUUUGCUUCUGCUUCACUCAUGUUUCCUGUUUUAUACUAUCGUAAUGUUUCAGGUCCUGAGCCCUGUUGUUCAGAAAUCACUUUGGAGUGCUUUAAAGCUCGCUGCAAUGAAAAGGAUGCAGGAUGCUGGUUGGACAGCUGCCGCUGGUGCUGACAAGGAGAAGAAAAACAACAAGUGCUUUUCAAAAUGGAUCGUUUUCUCUGUGUGUGUGACAAAUGUGGACAUUCAAUAUGCUUUUUUCAUUACACCACUGCCCUCAAGUUCAUUCAUAUCUGUAGUUGUCUGAUGCUGGGAAAUCUGUUGACCGAAAUAUACAUUUCAAAUGCAAGUCAAAACAAUUUGAAAUGAACAAAGUAUAUUAUCUUGUUUUGAUGUUACUGUUUAGCCACAUUACUCACUUUAUUAAUGGGAAACAUGUGAAAUGCUUGUU